GUUAAUGCGGGGCCAUGGGGCGCGGAAAUUCGGAGGGUGGAAUAGGUUAUGGGAUUUGUUGGGUUUAAAGGGGACGUAAGCGGAUUAAUUAGUCAGUGGUGAAAUCUCAUAGCUUAACUAUGGAACUGCCGUGGAUACGGUUAGUCUUGAGUGAUGUUGAAGUGGCUGGAAGGUGUAGUGUAGCGGUGAAAUGCUUAGAUAUUACGCAGAAAACCAAUUGCGAAGGCAGGUGACUAAACAUCAACUGACGCUGAUGGACGAAAGCGUGGGGAGCGAACAGGAUUAGAUACCCGGGUAGUC
rnacentral:rRNA from 1 species